CAAAUAAAUGUCGAUUUUUAGUUAAGAUUGAUUUUGUCUUUAAUAAUUGGCGUUGAUUAGGUAAUUUUAUAUAUAAGUUUUUGCAAGUUAUUAGAUUGUCUAAAUGAUAAUUUUUGUUUUAUUUGUAGUUUUUUAUAUU
rnacentral:rRNA from 1 species